UACAGAGGGGGCAAGCGUUGUCCGGAUUUACUGGGCGUAAAGCGUGCGCAGGCGGCCGCGCAAGUCGAGUGUGAAAGCCCCGGGCUUAACUUGGGAAUUGCGCUCGAAACUACGUGGCUGGAGUGUGGCAGAGGAAGGUGGAAUUCCAGGUGUAGCGGUGAAAUGCGUAGAGAUCUGGAGGAACACCGAUGGCGAAGGCAGCCUUCUGGGCCAACACUGACGCUCAUGCACGAAAGCGUGGGGAGCAAACAGG
rnacentral:rRNA from 1 species